GUAGUACUCCCUCCGUUCCAAAUUACUCGUCGCAGAAAUUGAUGUAUCUAGAACUAAAAUAUAUCUAGAUACAUCCAUACUUGCGACAAGUAAUUUGGAACGGAGGGAGUAGUAC
rnacentral:pre_miRNA from 1 species